rnacentral:rRNA from 1 species
CCUACGGGCGUCAGCAGUGAGGAAUAUUGGUCAAUGGACGCAAGUCUGAACCCGCCAUGUCGCGUGCAGGAAGACGGCUCUAUGAGUUGUAAACUGCUUUUGUACGAGGGUAAACGCAGAUACGCGUAUCUGUCUGCAAGUAUCGUACGAAUAAGGAUCGGCUAACUCAGUGCCAGCAGCCGCGGUAAUACGGAGGAGUCAAGCGUUAUCCGGAUUUAUUGGGUUUAAAGGGUGCGUAGGCGGUCGGAUAAGUUAGAGGUGAAAUCCCGAGGCUCAACUUCGGAAUUGCCUCUGAUACUGUUCGGCUAGAGAGUAGUUGCGGUAGGCGGAAUGUAUGGUGUAGCGGUGAAAUGCUUAGAGAUCAUACAGAACACCGAUUGCGAAGGCAGCUUACCAAGCUACUUCUGACGUUGAGGCACGAAAGCGUGGGGAGCAAACAGGAUUAGAUACCCUAGUAGUC